rnacentral:lncRNA from 10 species
UUGGCUACACCAGGCUAGGGCUGGUUCGUAGUCACUGGACAAGCAGUUAGCAUCUUCUGUGCAGGUGGGGGAGCAAAUCAGCAAGCAGAAGAGUGGGUACACAGUGGGCUUGCAAAGAGUGUGGGGUCCCUCUGUGCAUGGACAGACUGUACAUGGUGGUGGGCAAUUUGCAGGAGCAGCAGCCUGGUGCGAACCCUCUAACCACAGGCAGGCUGUGUACAAGGUUUUACAGAGGAAGUCAGAGUCCUAGUGGGUGGACAG